UACGAAGGGGGCUAGCGUUGCUCGGAUUCACUGGGCGUAAAGGGUGCGUAGGUGGUGAGAUAAGUCGGAUGUGAAAUCUCCAAGCUCAACUUGGAAACUGCAUUGGAAACUAUCUUGCUAGAGGGUUUGAGGGGGGACUGGAAUACUUGGUGUAGCAGUGAAAUGCGUAGAUAUCAAGUGGAACACCAGUGGCGAAGGCGAGUCCCUGGAAAAUACCUGACACUGAGGCACGAAAGCUAGGGGAGCAAACAGG
rnacentral:rRNA from 1 species